GGCUGUUGCAUUUGAAUUUAUUGUGUCCUUUUUGAUAAUCAUAUUUCAAUAUUGAAUAUUGUCUCUACAUUAUUCCUCAGAUGUGCCCCAGAGACCUCCUUGGGCGAGUGGAUUAGGCAACUCUAAGAGGGCUAAACAAGAGGAUCCAAGAAAUAGAGGCAUAGAAGAGGCCCACACGGCUUCUCCGGAAAAACAUCCUCACUCGAAGGUAACGCUUUUAGACUUUUAGCUUGAAGUAAGAACUACAGAUUUUAUCGUGUGUAUGUUAUGUUUUAAUCAACUCUAAUCCAAACCCAUUCAGCCUCCAGUU
rnacentral:lncRNA from 1 species